rnacentral:ncRNA from 1 species
AUAAUGAUACUUCCGUCCACAAGGCGGCUCGGAGAGAUCCUCGGAGGGGUUGGAUUCCCAUG